rnacentral:rRNA from 1 species
AUUGAACGCUGGCGGCAGGCCUAACACAUGCAAGUCGAACGGUAACAGGAAGCAGCUUGCUGCUUUGCUGACGAGUGGCGGACGGGUGAGUAAUGUCUGGGAAACUGCCCGAUGGAGGGGGAUAACUACUGGAAACGGUAGCUAAUACCGCAUAACGUCGCAAGACCAAAGAGGGGGACCUUAGGGCCUCUUGCCAUCGGAUGUGCCCAGAUGGGAUUAGCUAGUAGGUGGGGUAACGGCUCACCUAGGCGACGAUCCCUAGCUGGUCUGAGAGGAUGACCAGCCACACUGGAACUGAGACACGGUCCAGACUCCUAGGGGAGGCAGGAGGGGGGAAUAUUGCACAAGGGGCGCAAGCCUGAUGCAGCCAUGCCGGGUGUAUGAAGAAGGCCUUCGGGUGGUAAAGUACUUUCAGCGGGGAGGAAGGGAGUAAAGUUAAACCCUUUGCUCAUUGACGUUACCCGCAGAAAAAGCACCGGCUAACUCCGG